GUCCGCCUCACCGCGUGCACUGGUCCGGCCGGGCCUUUCCUUCUGGGGAGCCGCAUGCCCUUCACUGGGUGUGUCGGGGAACCAGGACUUUUACCUUGAAAAAAUUAGAGUGUUCAAAGCAGGCCUAUGCUCGAAUACAUUAGCAUGGAAUAAUAGAAUAGGACGUGUGGUUCUAUUUUGUUGGUUUCUAGGACCGCCGUAAUGAUUAAUAGGGAUAGUCGGGGGCAUCAGUAUUCAAUUGU
rnacentral:rRNA from 1 species